CAGUCGCCACGGUAAUACAGAGGGUGCGAGCGUUAAUCGGAUUUACUGGGCGUAAAGCGUGCGUAGGCGGCUUCUUAAGUCGGAUGUGAAAUCCCUGAGCUUAACUUAGGAAUUGCAUUCGAUACUGGGAAGCUAGAGUAUGGGAGAGGAUGGUAGAAUUCCAGGUGUAGCGGUGAAAUGCGUAGAGAUCUGGAGGAAUACCGAUGGCGAAGGCAGCCAUCUGGCCUAAUACUGACGCUGAGGUACGAAAGCAUGGGGAGCAAACAGGAUUAGAUACCCGGGUAGUCCCUGUCUCUUAUAA
rnacentral:rRNA from 1 species